rnacentral:rRNA from 1 species
UACGUAGGGUGCAAGCGUUGUCCGGAAUUAUUGGGCGUAAAGAGCUCGUAGGCGGUCUGUCGCGUCUGCUGUGAAAACUCAGGGCUUAACCCUGAGCUUGCAGUGGGUACGGGCAGACUAGAGUGCGGUAGGGGAGACUGGAAUUCCUGGUGUAGCGGUGAAAUGCGCAGAUAUCAGGAGGGAACACCGGUGGGCGAAGGCGGGUCUCUGGGCCGUAACUGACGCUGGAGGAGCGAAAGCA